rnacentral:lncRNA from 1 species
GUUUUGUUUUGAGGAAGAUUAGCUCUGGGCUAACAUCUGCUGCCAAUCCUCUUCUUUUUUUUAUUUGCUGAGAAAGACUGACCCUGAGCUAACAUCCGUGCCCAUCUUCCUCUACUUUAUAUGUGGGACGCCUGCCACAGCAUGGCUUGCCAAGCGAUGCCAUGUCCGCACCCAGGAUCCAAACCAGCGAGCCCCGGGCCACUGAAGCUGAACGUGCGAACUUAACCGCUGCACCACUGGGCCGGCCCCUUUCUCUUUGUUUUUAAGAACAAGGUCUUACCAACGGUUAGGAAAACUCUCCCAGGACAGCCCAUCAGGGGGGCUGACAGAGAAGUGACCAGGGAGUAAACAAGGCGGGGCCAAGCAGAGAAAGCCAAGUCGGCUCCCUGACCAACCACACAGACGCGCCCUUCUGGUCCCCGCCUCCAGCGUCCCUGUGCUGAGGACCACCAGUCCGGGCACACCUGAGGCCUCCGCCUUUUUCCACUACGAAGCACCUGUGGGAGGAAGCAGGUGGCGUGAGACUCAGGGCUCCAGGCCCCAGGUCUGUCCCCUAGAUGGUGGCCCUCGGGUCCCUGAACGACCCUCAUCCCUGGGAGCAUGCAGAGCCCUUGGGAUGAACUCUAUCCUCAUUCAUUCAUUCAUUCAUUUGGCAAAUAGUUCCUGAGUGCCUGUGGUGUGACAGUUCCCGAGGAUGUGACACCAAGCCCCUGGGGUACGGAGCCUGCAUUCUGCAGAGGAAGAGAGACAGCAAGCAAUAAACACUCAGAUAGAGAAAAGAGGCCGGGUUGGGGGGGUGCUGGAUACAGCGGAGGGGGGACUUCCUCUAACUCAGGUGGUGAGGGAACCCUCUCUGAAGGACAGCUGUGGCUUUCUUCCUCUGCGGCUAAGGUGACUCCUGAGAACCAGGGGGCUUUACCCUCUGAGGCUGCGCAGCAGCCCCCCUCUCCUUCCCUGGUGCCAGCAGCCAUCCCCCGUCGCAUCCAGCACAGGACUGCCCCACGUUGCCCCCAUCAGCCAUGCACUGUGUUCUCGAGGCACCAGAAGGACAGACAGGCAGCUGGGCAUCAACCCAUGGGGACAAAGAGAGGACAUGAGGCAGCAGCCCCCCAGGACCCGGGUGCUUUGGGGGGCCCCAAGAUUGGUUUAUGAAACACCACAAAGCACCAGCCUGGAUGUGUGUUUACCGACUGGCAGUCCACAAGUCAAGGAAUAUAGCUCAGCUUUGGAAAGAGAGCCGUGUGACAUGGGGCCGAUUAUUUAAGCUCUUUAAGCCUCACUUUCAGAACGUGGAAACUGAGAUGCAAAAAGUAGUCACCUCGGGGCUGGCCCCGUGGCUGAGUGGUUAAGUUCGCGCGCUCCGUUGCAGGCGGCCCAGUGUUUCGUUGGUUCGAAUCCUGGGCGCGGACAUGGCACUGCUCAUGAGACCACGCUGAGGCGGCGUCCCACAUGCCACAACUAAAAAAAAGGACCCACAACAAAGAAUAUACAACUAUGUACCGGGGGGCUUUGGGGAGAAAAAGGGGAAAAAAUAAAAAAAUCUUU